rnacentral:rRNA from 1 species
CCAGACUCCUACGGGAGGCAGCAGUGGGGAAUAUUGCACAAUGGGGGAAACCCUGAUGCAGCAACGCCGCGUGAGUGAAGAAGUAUUUCGGUAUGUAAAGCUCUAUCAGCAGGGAAGAAAAUGACUGUACCUGACUAAGAAGCCCCGGCUAACUACGCGCCAGCAGCCGCGGUAAUACGUAGGGGGCAAGCGUUAUCCGGAUUUACUGGGUGUAAAGGGGGCGCAGACGGCGAUGCAAGCCAGGAGUGAAAGCCCGGGGCCCAACCCCGGGACUGCUCUUGGAACUGCGUGGCUGGAGUACAGGAGGGGCAGGCGGAAUUCCUGGUGUAGCGGUGAAAUGCGUAGAUAUCAGGAGGAACACCGGUGGCGAAGGCGGCCUGCUGGACUGCAACUGACGUUGAGGCCCGAAAGCGUGGGGAGCAAACAGGAUUAGAUACCCUCGUAGG